ACGUACACUCCUGCGGGAGGCAGCAGUGGGGAAUUUUGGACAAUGGGCGAAAGCCUGAUCCAGCCAUGCCGCGUGCAGGAUGAAGGCCUUCGGGUUGUAAACUGCUUUUGUACGGGACGAAACGGCCUUUUCUAAUAAAGAGGGCUAAUGACGGUACCGUAAGAAUAAGCACCGGCUAACUACGUGCCAGCAGCCGCGGUAAUACGUAGGGUGCAAGCGUUAAUCGGAAUUACUGGGCGUAAAGCGUGCGCAGGCGGUUAUGUAAGACAGUUGUGAAAUCCCCGGGCUCAACCUGGGAACUGCAUCUGUGACUGCAUAGCUAGAGUACGGUAGAGGAGGAUGGAAUUCCGCGUGUAGAAGUGAAAUGCGUAGAUAUGCGGAGGAACACCGAUGGCGAAGGCAAUCCCCUGGACCUGUACUGACGCUCAUGCACGAAAGCGUGGGGAGCAAACAGGAUUAGAAACCCGUGUAGUCCC
rnacentral:rRNA from 1 species